UACAGGGGGUGCAAACGUUGCUCGGAAUUACUGGGCGUAAAGCGCACGUAGGCGGUUCGUUAUGUCAGAUGUGAAAGCCCUUGGCUCAACUGAGGAAGUGCAUCUGAAACUGGCGAGCUAGAGUAUGUAAGAGGGUCGCGGAAUUCCCGGUGUAGAGGUGAAAUUCGUAGAUAUCGGGAGGAACACCGGUGGCGAAGGCGGCGACCUGGGACAAUACUGACGCUGAGGUGCGAAAGCGUGGGGAGCGAACGGG
rnacentral:rRNA from 1 species